rnacentral:rRNA from 1 species
CGGUUACCCCGCAAGGGGUAACUGAGUGGCGAACGGGUGAGUAACACGUGGGUGACCUACCUUCGAGUGGGGGAUAACGUCCCGAAAGGGACGCUAAUACCGCAUAACAUCCUGCCUUUGAACAGGUGGAGAUCAAAGCUGGGGAUCGCAAGACCUGGCGCUUGAUGAGGGGCCCGCGUCCGAUUAGCUAGUUGGUGAGGUAACGGCUCACCAAGGCGACGAUCGGUAACCGGCCUGAGAGGGCGGACGGUCACACUGGGACUGAGACACGGCCCAGACUCCUACGGGAGGCAGCAGUGGGGAAUUGUUCGCAAUGGGCGAAAGCCUGACGACGCAACGCCGCGUGGAGGAUGAAGGUCUUCGGAUUGUAAACUCCUGUUGCCCGGGACGAAAUGCUUCAACCUAAUACGUUGAAGUUUGACGGUACCGGGUGAGGAAGCCCCGGCUAACUCUGUGCCAGCAGCCGCGGUAAUACAGAGGGGGCAAGCGUUGUUCGGAAUUACUGGGCGUAAAGGGCGCGUAGGCGGCCUGCUAAGUCGAACGUGAAAUCCCUGGGCUCAACCCAGGAACUGCGUCCGAUACUGGGUUGGCUUGAAUCUGGGAG